GAUGAACGCUGGCGGCGUGCUUAACACAUGCAAGUCGAACGGUGACGCAGUGCUUGCUCUGUGGUUCAGUGGCGAACGGGUGAGUAACACGUGAGCACCCCGCCCCCUACUCUGGGAUAAGCGCUGGAAUCGGCGACCAUUCCCUGAUAUGAGCUGCGACCGCCUGGUCAGCAGUUGGAAACUUGUUGCGGUCUGGGAUGGGUUCACGGCCUAUCAGCUUGUUGGUCGGGUAAUGGCUCACCACGCCGUCGCCGGGUUCCCGGCCUGAGAGGGGUGACGGCCACACUGGGACUGAGGCACGGAGCAGACGCCUACGGGAGGCAGCGGGGGCAAAUAUGGCACAGUGAGCGAGAGCCGGAGGAGGAGGCGCCGCGGGUGGGAUGACGGCUUGUGGGGUGUAAACCGCUGUUGGUAAAGAAGAAGCUAAAGUGACGGUACCUAAAGAAAAAGCGCCGGCUAACUACGUG
rnacentral:rRNA from 1 species